CAGAGAUUAAAGCAAUGGGAAUUGACAGGAAAAACAUCAGUAACCUGGGGGAGCAGACAGGACAGGUGGUGAAAUGUGAUGUGGAUGGAUAAGCUGCAUGGUAUCCCACCUACCUCCAGCUGAUGCUGCAGAAGAUCUCUUGUUUUCUGGCAAUCCCUUGACACUAACUGGAGGCUGCAGCCUGAUUUGAGGAACCUCUUUUUUCUACAUUUUGGAGAGAACCAAUGGAAUAAACAAGUAAAAACACAGAUGUUCAUCAGGCAACAGAGAAAAGACAAAGUGCACAAAAGCCUCUAGGACCUGUUGGGAUGUACUUCCACUUGCAUGCUGCUAACACGGACUUUUCAAGUUCUGCU
ensembl:lncRNA